CUUCAAGACUGGAAUGACCAGUAGAGGCAGAUUAUCAUCAAGCUUCCAGAUGCUGUGGGACCAGACCAGCUCAGAAAUCAGGGAGAUCUAUGGCGAGAAAUACUUUGCAUUUAAUCUGAAAAUGAUAAAUGGAUUGGACCGUAUGGGCAACAAGGACCUGUCUUUGGUUACUGACUGCAUGGAGCACGCUCUGACUGCCUGUCACCCUCGCACCCGAUACUCAGCUGGUUGGGAUGCUAAGCUCUUAUUUCUCCCCUUGAGCUACCUGCCCACAUUUCUUGCAGAUGGCCUUUGUUACUGGAUUUCCAUGAAGCCUGAGAAAGCUCUCUGAAUUCUUUACCUAUUUGUAUAGUUGGGAUAUGGAGGUAAAGAUUAAGGGAGGGAAUCCUUAGGAGAAAUUACAACAGUCAUAGCAGGGAGGUUAUUAUUCUAGAGUUCUUAGUCUACACACUUCAUCCCACUAAUUUUCCUGUGAUACUACUCAAGACUGGUGAUGACAAAUGAAAUAGCCAAUUAAGUCUGCCAAGGGAUUCAGAUAGUGUGCCCUCCCCAAUCCUUGAACGGCCUGAAUAAGUGUUUGCUACAGUGGAUCUUAAUGACCCAGGUGGAGUCAUCCAUCCUGGCUGCAUGUACAACUCCCUACAGGAACUUAGAAGAAUAGACUGCAUGUUGAGCUUGCCUUGUGACAUAAUCCAGCUGAAACAAAGGAUGGAUUCUGUGGGCUUUCCCUUUGUAUAUGAAGUGCUGAAUAAGAAACUGAACCUUGAUCAGAAAA